GCCUAGGAAUCCCUGAGGCCAAGAGUAGAGAUCAUGCAUUAGCAGCACCAAGUAUCCUUAUGAAAACUAGGUUUGACUUACUCUCAUUUCCUGCCCUGGGCAGCUCUGAAAGAGAAUUAUAAGAUCCUUGUUCCAAGCUGAGGAGGGCUUCUUUCCUAACAGUGAAUGAACUCUGUGACUUUCAUCGCUUAAUACACAAAAGCUUUAUAGCAUUUCCCUAUCAAGUUGCUAGCCCUCUUGUUUAACAAUGUUGUCCAAGGAAAAUGUUUACAAUAUUUAUAGAAUUUAUAGCAGCAUCUUUUGUUAUCACUAGCAAGUAAAUAGAAACAAAGUGAGUGCCCAUCAAUUAGGGAAUGAUAGUAACUGAAAUAGCAUUGUACCAUAAUGGAAUGGUUUAUCACAAUAAGAAAUGACAAAUACAAAGAAUUCAGAAAAACUUAGGAGAUUUGAAUGAGAUGAUGCAGAACAAAGCUCCCUGCUCUGAGGGUCUCAUUCAAGUCAGGUCAGAAGAGGAUCAGGUCUCUUUUUCAAAAAUACCACGCUUUGGGAACCAGAGAACUAUGCAAUGAAGACUCCUCUCCCAUCGAGGGCCAUGGAACCGACUUACCUCUCAGCACUGUAAUUGAACUGAUGAAGAAGGCGGUCAGCAAGUAGUGUACGGUACUCAUUGAUAAAAAGGUCUUUGCUGCCAUAGAUACUGACCAGCAAGCUGAUGAUAUCUGAGGAGCGGCGUUUUGAGCUUGAUUUCCCUAGAGACAAAGGCAACAAAGGCAGACUAUUAGAGAGAAGCUUCUGGAAUCACUGGCAGAAAUAGGAAUGUGCUGCUCACAGCAAGGGGACCCCAGGGCACAUGGGCCCACCCUGGUUUUCCCAAGCCCUAAAGGAAUAUCGUCGUAUAGGUUCACAAGCUACUUCCAGGAUGACCAUGGAGGAAUCCAGCUCCCGAAGGGCUUUGAUGGCUGAGAUAUAGAGGGUGAUGAUAUCAGAUGUAUUUACCCCUGCAAUGAAGAGAGCAGCAGAGUGACAAUUGGAAUGCCUCCAAGGACACCCAAAUUGGACUUGAGAAGCUAGCUAGAGUAGUAAACUCUCAGGAAGCUGGACUAUGUUGGUGGCCAGAACAUUCAUGUAAGGGACUUCAGAAACCUUGCCCCUUCCUAGAAGCAUUUGUUAAAACCCCUCAUGUUGCUCUUGAUUCCCUAUUUGAAACUGUGGAGAAAGAACACUUAACAUUCACUUUUCUCUCUACUCCUGAGAAGAGUGGCCUGACUCCCUUCCCUGCUCUAUUCUGCAUGUGAAAGAAAGAAAACUACAUAUGUACAGGCUAUCCAGGUUCCUAAACUACAUGCCUCCUGCAAAAUUCUUCUGUGGCAUAUUGAAAUAGUACCAGUUAUGCCAUUUUGCCUUUAUCCACCAUUUUAUGAAGUUAACACACACACACACACACACACACACACACACACACACACACACACACAAAAGAAGGUCACUAGCUCUUUUCCUUCUCUCCUCAGCACCUUUGGAUUGUCUCCCAAUCUCCUCCAAUCAAUCCUCAUCCUCACCCUUACCUUACUGUCUCCAGAUUGCCUCCUCCAAUAAGAACUCUUGCAUCUUGUUUUUCAUUCCCUCCAAACUGUAUAUUAACUGGGAAAAAAACUAAAGUUCUGGACUCUUAAUUACCAAGAGCCCUGAACCCAAUUUCUUUUGCAUCUGCAUGUAUUACUAAAUAAACUGCCUAUCUGGAUGAUA